GAGCUCGAAGGCCAACAUUGUUAGCAGAGAUGUUUUGGGCAAACAACUAAAAGAAGGGUAUACUAUGCUUGACACACAUGAUUCCGUGGCCUGAUAGAUGCCUAAGACUUGGGCUUCCACUGUACGACACAAGUGGAGAUGACUCUGUUUUUUGACCAUGAUCUUGAGAGUUGUUCCAAGGAAAACAACAGUUCUGUUGCAAUAGUUCUUUUAAGGUUGUACAUGAUAGUAUGUACCCGGAGAACGCAGGCCGUGCCGGUGAUUUGGGAGAUUUGGCGUGAGCGCAAUUGCCGCAUUUUUCACAAUUUGGAUUCGUCGGCUGCUAUGCUUACAUGCCUUGUCGUUGACGAAGCCAAUGUUGGAAGGAGG